GCUGCGGUUGCGGUGCGGGCGUCGAGCCGCUGUUGUCGGCAGCGGCCGCGGGCGGUGCCGAAUCGUCCCCGCCGCA
rnacentral:tRNA from 1 species